AUUCCAUGAUGGGGAUAUUUUCUCAGAAACUCCUUAAACCUCUCUCACGCAUCAUACAACGACUCAACAUCAUUUUGGUGAAAAUUGUUGAUUCACCUCUAUACCU